AACCAGACUCCUACGGGAGGCAGCAGUGGGGAAUAUUGGGCAGUGGAGGAAACUCUUACCCAGCAAUGCCGCGUGAAUGAAGAAGGUCUUCGGAUUGUAAAGUUCUUUAAUUGGGGACGAAAAAAAUGACGGUACCCAAGGAAUAAGCCCCGGCUAACUACGUGCCAGCAGCCGCGGUAAUACGUAGGGGGCAAGCGUUGUUCGGAAUGACUGGGUGUAAAGGGAGCGUAGACGGCAGCGCAAGUCUGGAGUGAAAUGCCGGGGCUCAACCGCGGAACUGCUUUGGAAACUGUGCAGCUAGAGUGCGGGAGAGGUAAGCGGAAUUCCUAGUGUAGCGGUGAAAUGCGUAGAUAUUAGGAGGAACACCAGUGGCGAAGGCGGCUUGCUGGACCGUAACUGACGUUGAGGCUCGAAAGCGUGGGGAGCAAACAGGAUUAGAUACCCUUGUAC
rnacentral:rRNA from 1 species